rnacentral:rRNA from 1 species
AUUGAACGCUGGCGGCAGGCCUAACACAUGCAAGUCGAGCGGAUGAAGGGAGCUUGCUCCUGGAUUCAGCGGCGGACGGGUGAGUAAUGCCUAGGAAUCUGCCUGGUAGUGGGGGAUAACGUCCGGAAACGGGCGCUAAUACCGCAUACGUCCUGAGGGAGAAAGUGGGGGAUCUUCGGACCUCACGCUAUCAGAUGAGUCUAGGUCGGAUUAGCUAGUUGGUGGGGUAAAUGCCUACCAAGGCGACGAUCCGUAACUGGCCUGAGAGGAUGAUCAGUCACACUGGAACUGAGACACGGUCCAGACUCCUACGAGAGGCAGCAGUGGGGAAUAUUGGACAGUGGGCGAAAGCCUGAUCCAGCCAUGCCGCGUGUGUGAAGAAGGUCUUCGGAUUGUAAAGCACUUUAAGUUGGGAGGAAGGGCAGUAAGUUAAUACCUUGCUGUUUUGACGUUACCAACAGAAUAAGCACCGGCUAACUUCGUG